rnacentral:rRNA from 1 species
CGAGGAAUAUUGCACAAUGGGCGAAAGCCUGAUGCAGUAACGCCGCGUGAGGGAUGAAGGCCUUCGGGUCGUAAACCUCUUUUUGGAGGGACGAGUUAGGACGGUACCUCUAGAAUAAGUCUCGGCUAACUACGUGCCAGCAGCCGCGGUAAAACGUAGGAGGCGAGCGUUAUCCGGAUUCACUGGGCGUAAAGCGCGUGUAGGCGGUUCGUUAAGUCGAAUGUGAAAGCCCCUGGCUCAACUGGGGGAGGCCAUUCGAAACUGGCGGACUUGAGGGUAGGAGAGGAGAGUGGAACUCCCGGUGUAGCGGUGGAAUGCGUAGAGAUCGGGAAGAACACCAGUGGCGAAGGCGACUCUCUGGUCUACCCCUGACGCUGAGACGCGAAAGCGUGGGGAGCAAACGGGAUUAGAUACCCCCGUAGUCC